rnacentral:lncRNA from 1 species
UGCCAGGCCCCCAGCUGUAGAUAAGUGGCUCUUGCCAUAGGGGUGGUAUCGGCUUAGCCCCAAAGUGUGUGGACUCCGCAAGGACAGCGACCCGGGGCUGCCUGGGGCAGCGGGCGGGGGGAGAUGCAGGUGACAAGAGGCUGCGGCUGCAGCGGCUGCAGCGGCACUGCCCAAGCUCGACGCCCCGGGGUAGGCGGCCAGAAGUUUCUCUGCGCCCGGCAGGGCUGUGUGAGUCCGUAGAUGGCUGAGCAGCUCCUCAGAGGUGGCAAAGCGCUUGUCGCAGGGCCCGCUGGAGGUGACCGGUGUGAGCGCUCAGCAUCUUCAGGACCCUGAUAGGGAGCCGGUUCGCCUGGCGCAGGGGGUCCGCCGGGGGCAGGAGGGACACCACUGCCGGCACCGCCGGCCUCUUCCCGCCGCCGCCGCCGCUGCUGCUGCCGCCGCCGCUGCCGCUGCUUUCGG